ACACAGCACCCCACUAUCUGGAGGGCAAAGUGUUCUGUUUGUUUGGCCCUGGUGGUGUGAACCAGAAAUGUACACGGGGCUGUCACUGGCUGAGUAACUGAAGGUUGCCCCAGUUGCUGUCCUUGUUGCUGAGACCGGAGGGCAGAGUCUGGACAUUGAUCCUGUUUCCACACUCUUCUGGAAGAAGCAAACAUCUUCGAUUAGGUAAGUCUACCUGGGCCCCAGCACAUUAAGUGACAGGAAGAGGGAAGCAGCCAGCCCUUGCCCACCUGUGUAAGGAGAGUCCCAAUGCGUUCUGCCUACGAUGCGCCGGUUCUCCUUGGAGCAGGCCUUGCAGACCACUGCCUUCAGGUUGUGGAACUUGGAGCCACUAGCUAGGUGAACACCAAGUGCUGCUGCUGAGCACGCCAACCUCAUGUGUGGAGAACAGUUAUGGAAAUUCUCUCCCCACAGCUGCCUGCCUGCCUUGGCCUUGUGGAUCGUAUGAGUCCUUAGUGACUGCUCUUGUGCCGUGCUCCCUGCCUGCUGCCGUGCUCCCUGCCUGCUGCCGAGCUCCCCAUCAUGAUCAUCAAGGACACAUCUGUCUUGUCUCAGUGACAGAAAAGUAACUGAGACACUGCCGUAGGAAAAUAUGGGCUAUCACAAGAUGUGGCCACUAAGUCAAACUUACAAGAUCAUUUAUUGUUAGGUUUAUUCUCCUGAAAAACACAGGGAGAGAAGUCCCCUGUUUUUAAAAAUCAUACGUCAUCUCAUUUCAGUUGAAUACCAUUAAGAAUAAAAUGCCACAUGGUAAAAUCUCAAAAGGUGCCCGGGUUUUUACAAAUUAAGAAUGUCUUGCCUGAGCUCUGGAGAGAUGGUUCAGUGGUUAAGUGGCUGCUCCUGAGAAUCCCAGCACCCACAUGGCAACUGUCUAUAACCUCAGCUAUAGAGGGUCCAAUGCCCUCAUCUGGCUUUUAAAGGUAGAGUACAGAGGUGCGCAUGGUGCACAGACACACAUGCAGGCAAAAGACUCAUACACAUAAAAUUAAAAUAGAUGAAUAAAAAAAAUCUCAAAAA
rnacentral:lncRNA from 1 species